CGAACUGUGCAAACGUUAUUCGGAAUCACUGGGCUUACAGGGUGCGUAGGCGGUCUGUUAAGUAGGGUGUGAAAGCCCCCGGCUCAACCGGGGAAUUGCGCCCUAAACUGGCGGACUGGAGUGAGAUAGGGGUGCGCGGAACUUCCGGUGGAGCGGUGAAAUGUGUUGAUAUCGGAAGGAACGCCGGUGGCGAAAGCGGCACACUGGAUCUCAACUGACGCUGAGGCACGAAAGCCAGGGGAGCGAACGGGAUUAGAUACCCCGGUAGUCCUGGCUGUAAACGAUGAGCACUAGCUGGGAGGGACGUAGGUCCUUCCCAACGGAGCGAAAGUGUUAAGUGCUCCGCCUGGGGAGUAUGGUCGCAAGGCUG
rnacentral:rRNA from 1 species